UACGUAGGGGGCAAGCGUUGUCCGGAUUUAUUGGGCGUAAAGAGCGCGCAGGCGGCUUGGUAAGUCGGAUGUGAAAUCCCGAGGCUCAACCUCGGGUCUGCAUCCGAUACUGCCCGGCUAGAGGUAGGUAGGGGAGAUCGGAAUUCCUGGUGUAGCGGUGGAAAUGACGCAGAUAUCAGGAGGAACACCGGUGGCGAAGGCGGAUCUCUGGGCCUUACCUGACGCUCAGGCGCGAAAGCUAGGGGAGCGAACUGG
rnacentral:rRNA from 1 species